CGAACGCUGGCGGCGUGCUUAACACAUGCAAGUCGAACGCGAAAGUUUUCUUCGGAAAGCGAGUAGAGUGGCGCACGGGUGAGUAACGCGUAAAUAAUCUACCCCUGCAUUUGGGAUAACCCACCGAAAGGUGAGCUAAUACCGGAUACGUUCUUUAGAUUGCGAGAUUUAGAGAAGAAAGGUGGCCUCUGAUAUAAGCUACUGUGCGGGGAGGAGUUUGCGUACCAUUAGCUAGUUGGUAGGGUAAUGGCCUACCAAGGCGACGAUGGUUAGCGGGUCUGAGAGGAUGAUCCGCCACACUGGAACUGGAACACGGACCAGACUCCUACGGGAGGCAGCAGUGAGGAAUAUUGCGCAAUGGGGGCAACCCUGACGCAGCGACGCCGCGUGGAUGAUGAAGGCCUUCGGGUCGUAAAAUCCUGUCAGAUGGAAAGAAGUGCUAUAUGACUAAUAUUUGUAUAGUUUGACGGUACCAUCAAAGGAAGCACCGGCUAACUCC
rnacentral:rRNA from 1 species